CCUGGAGAGCUUUCAGUUGACGUAGAACGCCUCCUGGCGGCCAUGUUGGAAGACCACUGCAUUAAUUAUUCUGAAAACAGCCGAGGGGCUACCCCAAACUGAAUGAUAAAAGUGACUAGAACUAGUGGAUUCAUCACCACGGUCAUUUUCUGUGGAGUAUAUGGCUCCUCAAACAAGGCCGGAAAAGAUGUUUACAGAUUCCCCGCAAUCAUGAAACACCAUUGGCAAUACCAAUGAGAUAAGACUCAAGAACUCAGAAAAGCGAAGAAACCUUUUUGCCCGUCAAGACCUCAACCCAGACUGCUUUCAAUACAGGGUUUGCUACGAUCAUUUCAUCAUUGGAAGGUUCACCAGCUGACCUAUAUCAAGACACCCAUGUUGACUGGAUUCCCCCUGUGAAGAUGGGUAAUGCUGCAGCAGCAUCAGUUUCUACUACUUCUUCAUCUUUUUCCAGACAUGAAAGAAGACAUCCCUCAGUUAUAUGACAUGGUUGUCAUAUGCUGUGCUUUGGACAAUUAUUCUGUUGUCAAUUGAGUAGAGCACCUUGUCAUGACAAAAGUGCCCCCUUACACUGUAUGAAUAUAAUGUAAUUUGGAACGUUUAAAAGACUUGUUGAUAUUGUAAACAUACUGUACUUCAAGCUAUAUUGUUGUCUAAGUGAAAAGACAAGUAUUCUGUCAUCUUUGCUUUGCCUAGCCCCAUUGAAUAAAAAGUAUUUCUUAUGGCCCAA